rnacentral:rRNA from 1 species
CGUAGGGUGCGAGCGUUAAUCGGAAUUACUGGGCGUAAAGCGUGCGCAGGCGGCUAUGCAAGACAGGUGUGAAAUCCCCGGGCUUAACCUGGGAACUGCACUUGUGACUGCAUGGCUAGAGUGCGUCAGAGGGAGGUGGAAUUCCGCGUGUAGCAGUGAAAUGCGUAGAGAUGCGGAGGAACACCGAUGGCGAAGGCAGCCUCCUGGGAUGACACUGACGCUCAUGCACGAAAGCGUGGGGAGCAA